UACGUAGGGUGCAAGCGUUGUCCGGAAUUAUUGGGCGUAAAGAGCUCGUAGGCGGUUUGUCGCGUCGGCUGUGAAAACUCGGGGCUCAACCUCGGGCCUGCAGUGGGUACGGGCAGACUAGAGUGCGGUAGGGGAGAAUGGAACUCCUGGUGUAGCGGUGGAAUGCGCAGAUAUCAGGAAGAACACCGAUGGCGAAGGCAGUUCUCCUGGGCCGUAACUGACGC
rnacentral:rRNA from 1 species